UGAGGAAUAUUGCGCAAUGGGGGAAACCCUGACGCAGCGACGCCGCGUGGAGGAUGAAGGCCCUCGGGUCGUAAACUCCUGUCAAGAGGGACGAAUGCCUUUGGGGUUAAUAGCCUCGUUGGUUGACGGUACCUCUGAAGGAAGCCCCGGCUAACUCCGUGCCAGCAGCCGCGGUAAUACGGAGGGGGCGAGCGUUGUUCGGAAUUAUUGGGCGUAAAGGGCGCGUAGGCGGCUUUUCAAGUCGAAAGUGAAAUCCCACGGCUCAACCGUGGAACUGCUUUCGAUACUGUUGGGCUUGAGUCCCGGAGAGGGUAGCGGAAUUCCCAGUGUAGCGGUGAAAUGCGUAGAUACUGGGAGGAACACCGGUGGCGAAGGCGGCUACCUGGACGGGUACUGACGCUGAGGCGCGAAAGCUAGGGGAGCAAACAGGAUUAGAUACCCCCGUAGUCC
rnacentral:rRNA from 1 species